UAAGCAAGAUGACGACACAAAGGAGAAUGGCGAUGAGCGCCCCUGUGCUCAGGCCUGCAGCAAGCAUCAGAGCCUCCGCAUUGCAAGACUGCAUGUUCCCUUGGUUAUCACACGCGCACACACGAAUCGUGAGUGUGCCAGUGCUGCUUUGAAUAGGAUAAUCAUUGUCGAAGAUUAAAACUGGCAGUAGAUUAUUCUCAAGUACUCAACUAAGAAUUAAGAAAAUACCUACAAACAAGAACAUCUCACAUAGCACCCUCUAAUACAUUGGCUGCUAAUCCUCAGGUACGAGGUGUCAAAGUCACUUCUAGCUCUUAGCUCUUUUUUUUUCAUUUGUUUUACAUAGACAAUCACACUUACAACAAAAGAUUUAAGGAAUGUAUGACAUAUCAGUGAUAGACUGAUGUUUAUUGUUCAUGCCACAGAGAAAUACAAAGCAAGCACCCUUGAAUGUA